rnacentral:lncRNA from 1 species
GAAUUACGGUUUAGAGAUUGAAGUUGGGCUAGAGUGGGAGAAGCGGGGUCAGAGGGUUCUGUGUCAGAGGAAAUGACAAAGUAGGGAGGUGAUUCUGGGGCUGAAGUUGUGGUUGUUGUGAAUUACGGUUUAGAGAUUGAAGUUGGGCUAGAGUGGGAGAAGCGGGGUCAGAGGGUUCUGUGUCAGAGGAAAUGACAAAGUAGGGAGGUGAUUCUGGGGCUGAGGAUGAGGA